GUCGGUCCUACAUUUCCUUUGGUUGACCAACACGACGUACGAAAAGAGAUACAAUUUUUCGUGGCUGUUCACGCUGAACAGGAGAGAGAACAUAGCAAGUCACAAGUCUGAUGCCUCCAGCCGUCACCACUUUUUGAUUUAUUCAUAAUCAUAAGGAAUAAAUACGGAAACAUGAUGCCGA
rnacentral:lncRNA from 1 species